AAGCCAGCUAAUGCAUCUGCCUACCUGAAUGUGUUUCUGCAGAAAUUUUUAAAAAGCUGGUAAAAUGGUAAAGUCAUGUUACAAGCCUUGAGGAUAUCAAAGUUGUUAAAGUUUUGGAACAAAUAUAUGU